rnacentral:rRNA from 1 species
UUAAAGUCUAAUCUGCCCUAUGAUGAAUUAAAUGGCCGCGGUAUUUUGACCGUGCAAAGGUAGCAUAAUAAUUAGUUUUUUAAUUGAAAGCUGGAAUGAAUGAUUGGACGAGAAAAUAACUGUCUCAAUUUAAUUUUAUUAGAAUUUUAUUUUUAAGUAAGAAAGCUUAAAUUUUAUUAAAAGACGAGAAGACCCUAUAGAGUUUUAUAAGUAGUUAUUUAUAGAUUUUUAAGAAUUAUUUUAUUAAUAUUUAGUUAUUUAUUUUAUUGGGGCGAUAGAAAAAUAUUAUAAACUUUUUUUAAUAUUAUAACAUUGAUUUAUGAUUUGUUGAUCCAUUGAUUAUGAUUAAAAGAUUAAGUUACCUUAGGGAUAACAGCGUAAUUUUUUUUUAGAGUUCUUAUCGAAAAAAAAGAUUGCGACCUCGAUGUUGGAUUAAAAUUUAUAUUUGGUGUAGAAGCUAGGUAAUUAGGUCUGUUCGACCUUUAAAAUUUUACA